rnacentral:rRNA from 1 species
GACGGAGGGUGCUAGCGUUGUUCGGAAUUACUGGGCGUAAAGGGCGCGUAGGCGGCCUGAUCAGUCGGGUGUGAAAGCCCGGGGCUCAACCCCGGAACGACACCCGAGACGGUCAGGCUGGAGACCGGGAGAGGAGGGUGGAAUAGCCAGUGUAGAGGUGAAAUUCGUAGAUAUUGGCUGGAACACCGGUGGCGAAGGCGGCUUUCUGGACGACAACUGACGCUGAGACGCGAAAGCGUGGGGAGCAAACAGG